rnacentral:rRNA from 1 species
UACGUAGGGGGCAAGCGUUGUCCGGAAUCAUUGGGCGUAAAGCGCGUGUAGGCGGCUCGGUAAGUCCGCUCUGAAAGUCCGGGGCUCAACCCCGGGAGGCGGGUGGAUACUGUCGAGCUCGAGUCCGGGAAGAGGCGAGUGGAAUUCCUGGUGUAGCGGUGAAAUGCGUAGAUAUCUGGAGGAACACCGGUGGCGAAGGCGGCAUCCUGGACCGGCAUUGACGCUGAGGCGCGAAAAGCGUGGGUAGCAAACGAGG